AUUGAACGCUGGCGGCAGGCCUAACACAUGCAAGUCGAGCGGAGCGGCGGACGGGUGAGUAAUGCCUAGGAAUCUGCCUGGUUGUGGGGGAUAACGUCCGGAAACGGGCGCUAAUUCCUCAUACUCUUAGAUUCGCCUAGGUCGGAUUAGCUAGUUGGUGGGGUAAAGGCCUACCAAGGCGACGAUCCGUAACUGGUCUGAGAGGAUGAUCAGUCACAAUGGAACUGAGACACGGUCCAGACUCCUACGGGAGGCAGCAGUGGGGAAUAUUGGACAAUGGGCGAAAGCCUGAGCCAGCCAUGCCGCGUGUGUGAAGAAGGUCUUCGGAUUGUAAAGCACUUUAAGUUGGGAGGCGUUACCAAAAGAAUAAGCACCGGCUAACUUCGUGCCAGCAGCCGCGGUAAUUC
rnacentral:rRNA from 1 species